CUUCAAGUCGUCUUCAUCUCAAACUCUCCACUGUAUCGCUUACUCAGUGCUCUGCUGCCUGUGACAUUCAAGACGCCAAACCCUGCUGCUGAUUUGCGACCACUGCGCCUCGCCCUGUCUGGCCUCGCGGCGCAUCACAAAGACUUACACGGACCGUGACAACAUCAGGACCAUUAGUUCCACCGCCCGUUCCAAUACCCCGGCUUUUUUGGCUCGCACGUUCGGCGCAUUCUAAACAAUUAUCAAACCCUUGGCUCUCCAGAGCGGACAGCAUGCAUCAAAUUAAGCUGUUUUUUGGCUUCGGUUGAACCUCGAGUAAAGUAUAAGCCACCCUGAGGGCGAGAGAGAGCAAGCGAGAGAGAGAGAGAGAUCCUCUGACCAAUAAAGGUGGAGGGUUUCUGACUGGGGAUCUGGUGGGGGCUCUGAUGGUAAGAGGCGGGGGGGGUGCAAAAACAAAAAAAAUCUGCAGCAAAUGGCUUGUUGUAUUUGUGAAAUUCACCCAAAGUAUCUCACAACAAUGACGAUUAGUCGAGAACAAGUAAACAUCCAGUCCGCUAAUGAAUCUCUCUUCAAUAAACAAGUGGAGAACACGUGCAUGCACGCACACAACGCGCACACGCACGAGCGCAGCGUGAUAAUGAUGUUCUUUGUGGAGUUUUUGGGGUAAUUAGGGCUGCUUAAAUGGUGGUUAAAAAGGAUUUGCAGCUGAUUGUUUGUCCUUGUGUCUUUGAGCCGUGGGCGCUCUUGCUCCUCUGAGUGUCAACAAAGUCUUCUUCAACUGUCUCGUCACAGAGCACAAAAAAUCCCUUCUUUCACCACGCCGUCCGCCGCAGACCCUUCCUCUGCUUCUCCCAGUCCCUCCCUUUCUUCUUGUGUGUGCUCAAAUUCUUCUUGCUUGUCUGUUUCCCUAUAAUUUGCUCUCUCGCUCUCCCUCGCUCCCUUACUUUUUCUCCUCCCUCUCUACGUCUUCCUCUCCAUCUUCUUCAACUGAACAGCUGCUGGGUCCGAUCACGCUCCAAGAACACGCUCUUGAUGUGAGAACUGAGGCAUGUCCACUGAGGAAGAACCAGGCAGACAACUUUCACUGUAGAUCAACAAAGCUGCCAAAGCCAGUUCUCAGGUGUGGCUACCCUGUGAUUUCCACUCCUCUGUAAGCCGGUGCAUCGAUCCACUUAUCACUUACCUGCAGUAUAUGAGGACCAGCUCUCCCGCCCACUCUCCUACAGACCGCUGCUGUUGCAGCGGUCUUUAUAGCCGGUGAUAUUGUUCAGGCUCUCUAGUGAAACUUGCCUUCUCUCUAAAUAUGUUUUCCAAGUUACUAACCCCGAUUCUUGUUCUGCUCCAGAUUCCCUACGCGUGCCAGCCAGCAGCUCAGACUCUUGAUGUCCGAUCUGGUUUUCCUGCCUGCCCACUCUCCAGCAAAACAACCUCGCUCACGGAUCUCCUGUCUGCGCUCACCUCUGGGGCCUCCACCGCACACUCUGAGCUUGUGAAUGCAACUUUUGAAAGGAUUCUCCCGCCAGACGGAAGAUUUUAAGUGCCUAAGCCUUGUGAGUCCAAAUGAGCUUCAUCAGCAAAUCAAAAUUAAUCCAACUUGACUUCAUCACUCCUGAAAAGCGUACCGUUAAACACUGCCACAUCGAGCCACCAGUGUGAGAGGAGCGCAUGACAGAAGGCCGGUAUUCCUUUAGGAAUUGGAGGAGGCCAAAACAGAGCUAAAAGGGCAGGUUUUAACUUAAACGUGUAAAUCUGUAAAAUUUUAAAAAAAUGUGUCAACACCGGGGCACAGUGAAUGUUUUCUUGGUCCAGAAGUGGAAAAUCACAUACAUUUUACCUACACGUAGGGAAAUAAAAGAGGGGAACUGGAUAUUGAAAGGUUAAAAAGAAAACGAGGAGAGAAAUGACAAAAGAUAAGCCGACUAUGAAGAACAGCGUGAACAAGGAAAGAGGAGCACAAGGUUGAUGUAAAGUCAGUGAGUGGUGGAAAGCCCUCAGGAAUGUCGGUGGUGAGAAACGACAACGGUUGUAAUGGGUUCCGUAUGGCAAGAGAGGGAGGGAGGGCGAAACGGGAGGGGACGAGAGAAGAAGAGGUGGUGAAGGGAAAGGUAAAGCAGCACCGAGGAGGCUUACAGGGGAGAGAAAAGAGAGGCAGAGGGAGGCGGGAGGUAGCAGUAGGCAGGUAGAGAUGCAGAGCCUUGUUUGAAUAGUUAGCUGGCAUCGUGGGACUUUGAAGGUAACUCCGUCCUUGUCAUCUCUUACACACGCGCGCGCGCACUCGUACACACUCAUUCUGCUGUCCGGAGGCGGUCCAGAAUGCUGCAGCGUCGGUGUCACAUCCAGUACAUAUCACAACCCGGAUAACCACAGAGACACAGGAUGGAGGCACGCUGGAUGCCUUGGCAUUUGCAAAGAGCACGUACACACACACAGAGGCGCUCGCUAUGUUUGUCUCCCUCAUAAACACACACACACACACACCCCCUUCAUCUCCCAUGCUGCUGUGCUCCUGCUGCGCUCAAUACCAUCCCAUACGAUACAAUGCAGCAGACGAGCGUAUCGCAUUAAGUUGAAACUUGUAGCUGCAUCAUAAAGAGAAGCGAGAACUAACUAAGCAGCUAUGGAAAAAGAUUCUUUUCCCUCUUUGAACAGAGCUGAACAACGCAGCCAUAUCCAGGUCAACAGAAACUUUUCUCAAGCAAACAUCUCCUUCCCUUCUCCUUCGUCAUCUCUCCCUCUCAUUUGCAUCCUUGUUCCUGUAUUUUUUAUGUUUCUGCUCCCGCAUCUUUGGCUCAGAACUUUUGUUCGUGGCGUCUUUUGACUCCUCCAAACAUUCGCUAAAAGUGAGCUCUAGACGCCGUACUGCACUCCAUCUCUCAUGCCUCAAAGAGCCUCCCCUCCUUGCUCUGCCUCUCCACCUCUCUAUACCUUUCUUCAUUAAAAUCUUGUUUUCUCUCUCCCUCUCUUCACCCAGGUAUAUAUCACCUAAUACGUUUGCAGCUUUACAACGAUUGCUGUUUCCUCUAAAGUGUCUCCCUAGAACAAAAAUGGAACAAUGAAAAACAUCCACACAUAAUUAUCAACCAAGAAAAAUGUCACUUUUAGUGGUGGAUGUAAAUAUUACACAUGGCCAAAGCUUUAUAUUAGAUUUCUACGCAUGUACAAGACGGGAAGGAGACGGGGAAAGAUUAGCCAAAAGCUAAAGCUGCUGCUCUUCUAGGGCCAGAUUUAUCAACUCGUUACGCCAACACAAACUGGGUUUUGGCGUAAGAAAAGUACUGUUGGCGUUUUCAAAAGAGAACACAGUGGCAAGAUUACGUGUAAGAGGCGGUCACUUACUGCGGCUGCGUAUGUAUCUCUAGAAGUUCCUUUCUCAAGGUGCAAAAAUACCGGGAGAAGAAUAAUUAAAUCAAACGCGCAAACUGAUUCAAUAACUUUUGCAUCACUCGGUUUACUGCUAACUGUGAUGAUAUUUAAUGCCAAAAAACAAAAUUGACCUA